ACGAACGCUGGCGGCACGCUUAACACAUGCAAGUCGAACGAGAGAAGAGAAGCUUGCUUUUCUGAUCUAGUGGCGGACGGGUGAGUAACACGUGAGCAAUCUGCCUUUCAGAGGGGGAUACCGAUUGGAAACGAUCGUUAAUACCGCAUAACAUAAUUGAACCGCAUGAUUUGAUUAUCAAAGAUUUAUCGCUGAAAGAUGAGCUCGCGUCUGAUUAGCUAGUUGGUAAGGUAACGGCUUACCAAGGCGACGAUCAGUAGCCGGACUGAGAGGUUGAUCGGCCACAUUGGGACUGAGACACGGCCCAGACUCCUACGGGAGGCAGCAGUGGGGAAUAUUGCACAAUGGAGGAAACUCUGAUGCAGCGAUGCCGCGUGAGGGAAGAAGGUUUUAGGAUUGUAAACCUCUGUCUUCGGGGACGAAAAAAGACGGUACCUGAGGAGGAAGCUCCGGCUAACUACGUGCCAGCAGCCGCGGUAAUACGUAGGGAGCGAGCGUUGUCCGGAAUUACUGGGUGUAAAGGGAGCGUAGGCGGGAUCGCAAGUCAGAUGUGAAAACUAUGGGCUUAACCCAUAAACUGCAUUUGAAACUGUGGUUCUUGAGUGAAGUAGAGGUAAGCGGAAUUCCUAGUGUAGCGGUGAAAUGCGUAGAUAUUAGGAGGAACAUCAGUGGCGAAGGCGGCUUACUGGGCUUUAACUGACGCUGAGGCUCGAAAGCGUGGGGAGCAAACAGGAUUAGAUACCCUGGUAGUCCACGCCGUAAACGAUGAUUACUAGGUGUGGGGGGACUGACCCCUUCCGUGCCGCAGCAAACGCAAUAAGUAAUCCACCUGGGGAGUACGACCGCAAGGUUGAAACUCAAAGGAAUUGACGGGGGCCCGCACAAGCAGUGGAGUAUGUGGAUUAAUUCGAAGCAACGCGAAGAACCUUACCAGGUCUUGACAUCGUAUGCAUAGCUCAGAGAUGAGUGAAAUCUCUUCGGAGACAUAUAGACAGGUGGUGCAUGGUUGUCGUCAGCUCGUGUCGUGAGAUGUUGGGUUAAGUCCCGCAACGAGCGCAACCCUUACUGUUAGUUGCUACGCAAGAGCACUCUAGCAGGACUGCCGUUGACAAAACGGAGGAAGGUGGGGAUGACGUCAAAUCAUCAUGCCCCUUAUGACCUGGGCCUCACACGUACUACAAUGGCUGUCAACAGAGGGAUGCAAAGCCGCGAGGUGGAGCGAACCCCUAAAAGCAGUCUUAGUUCGGAUUGUAGGCUGCAACCCGCCUACAUGAAGUCGGAAUUGCUAGUAAUCGCAGAUCAGCAUGCUGCGGUGAAUACGUUCCCGGGCCUUGUACACACCGCCCGUCACGCCAUGGGAGUCGGUAACACCCGAAGCCUGUAGUCUAACCGCAAGGAGGACGCAGUCGAAGGUGGGAUUGAUGACUGGGGUG
rnacentral:rRNA from 1 species